AUUGAACGCUGGCGGCAGGCCUAACACAUGCAAGUCGGAGCGCGAAAGUUCUUCGGAAUGAGUAAAGCGGCGGACGGGUGAGUAAUACAUGGGAAUCUGCCUGGUAGUGGGGGACAACGUUUCGAAAGGAACGCUAAUACCGCAUACGCCCUACGGGGGAAAGGGGGGAUCUUCGGACCUCUCGCUAUCAGAUGAGCCCA
rnacentral:rRNA from 1 species